AUCUCUAUGUGCAUGAUGGUUUCUGAUUAAUGUAUCUAUUUUCAGUGCACACUACCACAGUUUGAUUAGUGUUCACCUAUGCCCUUGUAUUCCUUCUCUCCUUAACAGUUCUGGCAACUCUAGGAUGCAAGAUGGUUUUAUUGCUUCACUAAAGGAUGUCUCUCAAGGGCCUGCUUUCCAGUCGAGGGGGCAGCAUUUAUAUGUUGAAGUUGCACUUGGUUGCCCAAGAUAUGAGAGUAGCAAGUCAAUGCAAUUGGGCUCCAGUUCAGGUAGGAAUCUACAAAAAAAUCAUGCCGCAGAAUCUCCAGCUGUGGCAAGAGGCGAUCACAGUG
rnacentral:lncRNA from 1 species